GAUACAUGCAGAUGACUCAGAAAGGAAACUGCAUGAGGUUUUGGUGUCUUCAAAACUUUUAUCCUGACAGACAAAUUUUUUUUUUUUUUUAAAGGGUGGAAACAACUAAGUAUGUUCAAAUGCUGUUUGAAAGGAGUCAGUGGAGAAGAGGAAGAGAAGGAAGUGAUCAGUGGAGAAAUAUAUCAGAGGAAGUGGGAAACAUGUUCGGAGAGAAACAUAAAUUUAGGAGGACAAGGGAAUUCUUCGUUGGCUAAUUGGUGUUUAAACAGACUUUGGAAGCUGAGUGAGGUUUUGCCAGAUGAAGGCAUUGAAAAAGAAUGGAAGGCUUUUAAAAAUUUAUUGGAGUGUAGUUGACUUACAAUGUUAUCUUAGUUUCGGGUGUUACUAAUCACUCACUAGAGCCAUAAAAAAUUCACAAUAGAGCAACUUCCUGGCGAUCCCUCUGAGGUAAAUUAAUUGUGAAAUGUACUUCCUUGGUAGCUGAGAGAUUUGACCUGGUGCAUCAAAUUGUUAAAGACAUCUGUGAUCUGCACCAACCCUUCUUAAAAUAGCAAAAGAAAGGAAAAGUUAUAAAAGUUAUAAUGAAUAAUGUGUCCUGUACCCUACUAUGGAAAGUUACUAAGGGCAAAUUAUGCAUGAAGAAUUCAAUACUUCUCUUUUUUCUAAGUGACACAUUUAAUGGAUAAAAGGUCUCCAGUUAAUAAUCAUUUUUGUGUUCUUCAAAUAAAUGUUGGCUAUAAUUCUUAACACAUGCAUUAUAUAUAGCAAAGCUAUAAAGACAUAUUUAAUAGUCUCCAAGUCAAAGUGAUGUCUGUAAAAGAUAAAGAUAAAUUCAAAAAACUUGGAAAUUGAAACAUUGAUUUUAUAUAUUUAAUGAUUGCUUUCAAAUGGCAGUGAUGAACUAAUUCUUCAAUAUUAACUGAUUACUAUAUUUCCAUUAAUGAUAAAUAUUUUUCAAUAUUUUUUACAUAGCCUACAUAAUUUAUUUUAUUCAAUCCUCACAAUAGUCCCACAGAAUGGGCAUUAAAAUCCUUUAACAGUUGGAUAAUUUAUCACUGGUACACAAGACCAGAGUUUUCUUUUUUUUUUUAACUGAAGUAUAACUGACUUACAAUGAUAUUAGUUUCAAGUGUACAACAUAGUGAUUCAAUAUUUUUAUACAUUACAAAAUGAUCACCAUGGUAAGUCUAGUUACCAUCUGUCACUGUACAAAGUUAUUACAAUAUUAUUGAUUGUAUUCCUUAUGUUGUAUAUCUCUGUGACUUAUUUUUAUAUUUUAUAAAAUAUAAGUGGAAAAAUUUUACCUGUAAUUCCCUUCCCUACAUCCCCUCACCCUUCUUCCCUCUGAAAACCACCUGUUUGUUUUCUGUACCUACAUCCUAUUUCUGUUCUGUUUUUUUAGGUUCCACAUAUAAGUGAAAUCAUACAGUAAUUGUCUCUCUCUGUCUGACUUAUUCCAAUUGGUCUUAUAACCUCUAAGAGAUCAGAAUUUUCUUUACUGCAAUGAUCCAAUGAUUCUUCUAUACUUUAGCCUUCAGUGUAAAAUGUUGUUGUACAUCCUAUUAUUAUUUUUAUUAUACUUGAUUUGACAUUUGAUAUUAUAUAGAUUAUUGCAGAAUGGAUUCCUCCUUUAAAAACAAAGCUAUAUGGGAGUUCCCUGGUGGCCUAGUGGUUAAGGAUUCAACAUUGUCACUGCUGUGGCUUGGGUUUGAUACCUGGUCCUGGCCCAGGAAUUCCAUAUGCCGUGAGCAUGGCCAAAAAAAUAUCCACAAAGCUAUAUGGAAAUCACCACUUGCACAUGUUAUGUUGGAAAUGUAAACUGGUAAAACUAUUCUAAAGGACUAUUUGACAAUGUAUUUCUCUCUAUGAGAUGAUUAUAUUUUUCUGCCUCCUUUAAGUCAGACUUAGCCUUGUGAGUUGAUUUGGCCAAUUGAUUUUGGUGAGUUAAAAUGAAACUCAAAAAGCCGUCAUGUGCUUUGCUUUUCUCUCCUUACUGAUUCUAUAACCAGUAGUGCCUAAGAUAAUGGCUGCUCUGAUGGCCUGGGUCUGAGUGCAAAUGACAUCGGGCAGAGCCCAAGCGACCACUGAUGAUCCACUGUCAUAAACCAUUGUCUUAAGCCUCUGAGAUUUUUGAGUUGCUCUUAACCCAAUGUAAUCUGUCAGAAAAUUUUCCACUGGAAAUUUAUCUUAAUGAGUUCAUUAAAUAUGUUCACAAAUUUUACCUAACUUUAUCUUCAUGACAGUGAACUUGGAGAUAAACUAAACACCUAUUUAAUCUUUUUUUUUUUUUUUUUUUUUUUUUUUUUUUUUUUUUUGUCUUUUUGCUUUUUCUAGGGCUGCUUCCGCGGCAUGUGGAUGUUCCCAGGCUAGGGGUGGAAUCGGAGCUUUAGCCGCUGGCCUACGCCAGAGCCACAGCAACGUGGGAUCCGAGCCGAGUCGGCAACCUACACCACAGCUCACGGCAACGCCGGAUCAUUAACCCACUGAGCAAGGCCAGGAACCGGACCCUCAACCUCAUGGUUCCCAGUCGGAUUCAUUAACCACUGUGCCAUAACGGGAACUCCUUGCCUACUUAAUCUUUAAAAAAAUUAUAGUACAUCUAAAUACAUCUAGAAAUUCAAGAUGAAAUAAAUAAAAGAAGCUCAAACUUUAUGUAUAAUCAUAAAUUUUUUUCAGAAACAGUAUACAGCAAGGUGUUCACAGGGUUAUUUCUAGAUGGUUUGCCUUUAGUUUUAAGUCUUUCUUCUUUUUGCAUUUCCCAAUUAUUUCUCAAUAAAAAUUUUAAGAAUAAUCAUGGGAAUAUCAGUGAUAAUAACAAGAAAAAAAUCUUAUACUUUCUGAUCCCAGUGCUUCUGUUUGCAUCAUCUCAUGCUACCUCAUUAACAGUAAACUCGUGUAUUUCUAUAAUGAAUGGAGGAGAAUCCAAGAAGGCUUGGCACUGUCUACUAGGGCUUGUUUCUCUUCUAGAGCCAACAACUGGACACUGGUUUGAAGAAACCCAAUCAUAAUCAUAGCAUUUUUCUCUGUAACCUUUGCAAAGCUUGACUAUAAUGCUUUGGCAAAUUAAGCAAAGGUUUUGACUCUCUGUCUUUGUUUAUGGGCUAAGAAAAGAUAUAUGAUGUACUCAGUCUUGACAAGUGUCAAAAACCUGUGUUCUUUGGUACUUCUCAUACUGAGGUCAAGAAAAACAAGGAAAGACUGAGAAAGUGUCACAGACUAGAGGAGACAGGAAACAUGACAACAAGGUACAAUGUGGUAUACUAGAUUGGAUCUUUGAAGAAGGAAAAGAAAAAUCAUGAAAAAAAAUAGUGAAAUCCAAAUCAACUCUAUGUUUAGUUAGUGGUAAUGUAUCACUGCCAAGUUCUUAAUUUUGGCACAUAUACCAGAGAGGAUAAUGUAAAAAGUUAACUAUGGAGAAAAUGGAUAAAGCAUGAUGUAAGCAGAAUAAAGACUUUCCAAAAAAUCUGUGUUCCAAACUCUGGAACCUGUGGUUAAGUUAUAUAAUAAAUGGAAUUAAGUCGAUCUUAUAAUAGGGAGGUAAGUCUGGUUUACCUGGGUGAACAUGAUAUAAUUGCAAGAGUCCUUAAAUGAGGAAAAGGUGGGCAGAAGAAUCAAUGUCAGUUGUACAGUAGGAGAAAGACUUGACUGGCCAUUGCUGGCUUUGAAGAUGCAAAGGGACCAGACAUAGGGAUUUAUGGGAAGUCUCUAAAAGCUGGAAAAGGCAAGGAAAUAGAAUCUUCCCCAGAGUUCCCAGAAGGAAUGAAGCCUUAUCAGCACCUUAAUUUUACCCAAUUAACUCCAGAGUUGUAAAUUUGUUUUAAGCCACCAAGUUUGUGGUCAUUUAUUACAAUAUCUAUAGAAAACUGGUAUAAGAAGUAUACAGGAACUCUCUAGACUAUCUUUCCAACUCUUCUAUAAUUCUAAAAUCAUUCCAAAAUAAAAAGUUUAUUUUUUAAAAAAGUGUACUUUUAAGAAAAGUCAGGGUGCAUUUAUACACCUGCAGUCAUUCAAAAGAUUCCUCAAUAGGAUAUUGAACUUUCAAAUAUGUUUGGAUACGAGCCCUGCUUUCUUGGUCUCGCCUCCUGUUCAUUCUCCCCAGUUCUGACACUUCAGUUGGAUGCAACUUCAGGUAGCUAGGAUUCAACAUUCCUCCCACCUCUCAUGGAUCUCUGACCUCUGCCUCUUCCCUAGUUGUGGCUUUGCCACUCCUGUUUAGGUGCUAACAGUUGCAAUAGUAGCCACCACCUCCCACAAGGUUAGGCAAAAGCAACCUUUUUAAAAAUAACACAUUUACUAAGGGUUAGAAAUUCAGAAAAGAGCUGAGCUGUAUUACCAUAGCAACCAGACAGAAAUGAAAACAUGCAGUCAACUCAUUUGUUGAGGCUGCAGAAUAUCAGAUAAACUGUGGGAUCAUCAAAUUGGUUUGAAAAAAAAAUUCCUCACCAGACUCCAGCCACUCCUCUGAUUUCAUCCCAUGCUGUCAGUUUGAGAUGUUUUCCAGGUUUUGUUACCCUCAAAGCUACAAAUAAUAAAUAUUCUUCAGGAAUAAAAAGAAUCACAUUCUAAAAAAGAAGGCAUUCUCAAACAAAGGCUUUCCUUGGUUUUUGUUUUUUAUUUGUUUUUCUUUUUGUUCUUCAGUCUCAAAUCUAGUUAUUCCAUAUGUACAGAGUCAGUCUUUAUUUAUUUAUUUAUUUUUCAUUUUUGGCUUGCCUGUGGCAUAUAGAGUUCCAGGGCCAAAGAUCAGAUCCGAGCAGAAGCUGAGACCUAAGCUACAGCUGUGGCAAUGCUGGAUUCUUAACCCACUGUGCCAGGCUGGUAAUUGAACCUGCAUCUCGGUCCUCCCAAGAUACCUCCGAUCCCAUUGUACCACAGCAGGAACUCCUAUUUAUUUACUUUUAAUUUUUUUUUUUUUUUGGUCACACCAGCAGCAUGUAGAAAUUCCCAGGCCAGGUAUCAAACUCAUGCCACAGCAGUGACCCAUGCCAUUGUAGUGGCAACAUGGAUUCCUAACCCACUGCACCACAAAGGAACUCCCUGGGUCAGCCUUUUUAAAAAUGCUUGCCCACAGAGCCCAGGAAAUCUUCUCUAUCCUAAAUCAUUGUUCCUAAUUCUAUUCUAGGUACCUGAAAUGCCAUCAUUAGUGUUUAGGCAUUGUUAGGAUUUCAUCUCUACCAUGUAUAUAUACUGUAUGUCAGUUAGCAGAUCCUGCAGACUACUCCUGGGAUGUAAUCUCCACCUCUAAGUUUUUUUGUGUAGUUCCCUAUGCCACAUACCAGGUACUCAAUUAUUAUUUAUUCUCCUCUUCUUCUCUUUCCCGUUUUCCUUUACGGUCUUCAAAUGUACCCUAAAAAUCCAGUAUAGAUAAUCUGGAAAAUAACUAAGUUCAUGAACUUUCAGAACUCCAAACAUCUGUAGGGAUACUUUAGUUCAAAUCUUCAGCACAUAGACAUGGAAAUUGGAGCCUGGAGACACUGGGAGCCCUUCCUGAGAUCAAAGCAUCAAUUACUGGCUGACUUUUGGAAAACACUGGGUUUUCCAAAGUUUUAUAUUUCCUCCUCUAGUGGAGAAGGUACUAACACACACUGUGAGGAUAGGGCAUAUGGUGCUAAUUAGUUGACAAAUCCCUAGGAAUACACAGAAAGGACAUAGCCCAAAUGACAGGCUGGAUCCCUGAAAAGAGAAUUAGAAACACAUCAAAUAUCACAACUUCUUCAAAGGUAAUCCAUACACCGAAGGAGAACUUGUGUGUUGCAUCCUGAACUUCACUCAUGGUAAAUAAUUACCAUACACCUAAUUGUCUGGUUCCUCUAUUACUUUUCAUGUGCCCAGGAACAGAAAGCAUGGUGACCGUGAUUAUUUUUAAAAUGUCAGUGCCAAGCACAAUGUAUGUCUCAUAUUAUUGGCAGACUUCCCCCCCCUCCACAACUGUAGCCUGUGGAAGUUUUCAGGUCAGGGAUUAAACCUGCACUGCAGUUGCCUCCACCACAGCUGUGGCAAUGCCUGAUCCUUAACUGCUGCUCUACAUGGGGACUUCCACAGGCAAACAUUUUAUUUGUAAUUUUGUUGCUAAUUUAAAUGCUUCUGUGGCGAAAAACUUUCCUGUGAAACGAAUGCAAUUAAUUUUUGUAACUAUAUAUAUUCAUAGUCAUUCAUUCAAUCUUUAAUUACACAUUUUAAAUUCUCUAAUAUGGAAAUUAGAAAUGUAUAAAAUUGUGUUAAGGUGUGUAUCAGUAUGCAUGUAAUCAGGAAAACAUUAUGAGUGCAAUUAGUAAAACAAAUCUGAAAAUAAAAUAUUUUUGAUAGUUUCC
rnacentral:lncRNA from 1 species